UUCUUGGCUCGUAAUGCUGAUUCAUGAAUCUAAAUUACUCAAAAAUAAAAAGAUUAUUGUUACUUCUAAAAUAAAAGUAUAAUAACUUACGUGGCUUUUAUACUCAUUUUCAAGAAUACUUGCAAUGAAUAUUUACCACCCCCAGGACCUUUUUUUCUCUCUUCCAG